CCCUGAGUGGUGCAAAAGGUUAAUACGUUUGGUUGCUACCCAAAAGGUUGGAGGUUCAAGUCCACCUAGAGGCA
rnacentral:tRNA from 1 species